UACGGAAGGGGCAAGCGUUGUUCGGAAUCAUUGGGCGUAAAGGGCGCGUAGGUGGUUCUGUAUGUCUACCGUGAAAGCAUACAGCUCAACUGUAUUUUGUCGGUAGAAACUGCAGGACUUGAGGCUGGGAGGGGCUGGUGGAAUUCCCUGUGUAGCGGUGAAAUGCGUAGAGAUCGGGAGGAACACCAGUGGCGAAGGCGGCUACCUGGACCAGCACUGACACUGAGGCACGAGAGCGUGGGGAGCGAACCGG
rnacentral:rRNA from 1 species